rnacentral:rRNA from 1 species
GAUGAACGCUGGCGGCGUGCCUAAUACAUGCAAGUCGAGCGAACAGACGAGGAGCUUGCUCCUCUGACGUUAGCGGCGGACGGGUGAGUAACACGUGGAUAACCUACCUAUAAGACUGGGAUAACUUCGGGAAACCGGAGCUAAUACCGGAUAAUAUAUUGAACCGCAUGGUUCAAUAGUGAAAGACGGUUUUGCUGUCACUUAUAGAUGGAUCCGCGCCGCAUUAGCUAGUUGGUAAGGUAACGGCUUACCAAGGCGACGAUGCGUAGCCGACCUGAGAGGGUGAUCGGCCACACUGGAACUGAGACACGGUCCAGACUCCUACGGGAGGCAGCAGGAGGGAAUCUUCCGCAAUGGGCGAAAGCCUGACGGAGCAACGCCGCGUGAGUGAUGAAGGUCUGCGGAUCGUAAAACUCUGUUAUUAGGGAAGAACAAAUGUGUAAGUAACGAUGCACGUCUUGACGGUACCUAAUCAGAAAGCCACGGCUAACUACGU